rnacentral:rRNA from 1 species
CAUCGGAACGUGCCAUUGAGUGGGGGAUAACGUAGCGAAAGUUGCGCUAAUACCGCAUAUUCUGUGAGCAGGAAAGCAGGGGACCGCAAGGCCUUGCGCACUUUGAGCGGCCGAUGUCAGAUUAGCUAGUUGGUGAGGUAAAGGCUUACCAAGGCGACGAUCUGUAGCGGGUCUGAGAGGAUGAUCCGCCACACUGGAACUGAGACACGGUCCAGACUCCUACGGGAGGCAGCAGUGGGGAAUUUUGGACAAUGGGGGCAACCCUGAUCCAGCCAUGCCGCGUGAGUGAAGAAGGCCUUCGGGUUGUAAAGCUCUUUCGGCCGGGAAGAAAUCGCAUGGGCCAAUACCCUGUGUGGAUGACGGUACCGGAAUAAGAAGCACCGGCUAACUACGUGCCAGCAGCCGCGGUAAUACGUAGGGUGCGAGCGUUAAUCGGAAUUACUGGGCGUAAAGCGUGCGCAGGCGGUUUUGUAAGACAGGCGUGAAAUCCCCGGGCUUAACCUGGGAACUGCGUUUGUGACUGCAAGGCUAGAGUACGGCAGAGGGGGGUGGAAUUCCACGUGUAGCAGUGAAAUGCGUAGAGAUGUGGAGGAACACCAAUGGCGAAGGCAGCCCCCUGGGUCGAUACUGACGCUCAUGCACGAAAGCGUGGGUAGCAAACAGGAUUAGAUACCCUGGUAGUCCACGCCCUAAACUAUGUCAACUAGGUGUUGGGUGGGUAAAACCAUUUAGUACCGUAGCUAACGCGUGAAGUUGACCGCCUGGGGAGUACGGCCGCAAGGUUAAAACUCAAAGGAAUUGACGGGGACCCGCACAAGCGGUGGAUGAUGUGGAUUAAUUCGAUGCAACGCGAAAAACCUUACCUACCCUUGACAUGCCAGGAACUUGCCAGAGAUGGCUUGGUGCCCGAAAGGGAGCCUGGACACAGGUGCUGCAUGGCUGUCGUCAGCUCGUGUCGUGAGAUGUUGGGUUAAGUCCCGCAACGAGCGCAACCCUUGUCGUUAAUUGCCAUCAUUUGGUUGGGCACUUUAACGAGACUGCCGGUGACAAACCGGAGGAAGGUGGGGAUGACGUCAAGUCCUCAUGGCCCUUAUGGGUAGGGCUUCACACGUCAUACAAUGGUCGGUACAAAGGGUUGCCAAGCCGCGAGGCGGAGCCAAUCCCAGAAAGCCGAUCGUAGUCCGGAUUGCAGGCUGCAACUCGCCUGCAUGAAGUCGGAAUCGCUAGUAAUCGUGGAUCAGCAUGUCACGGUGAAUACGUUCCCGGGUCUUGUACACACCGCCCGUCACACCAUGGGAGCGGGUUCCGCCAGAAGUAGGUAGCCUAACCGCAAGGGGGGCGCUUACCA